GACGGUGACGACUACUAACGGCCUUCAGGAGUGACUAUGCGGGCAUGAGUAGCGAUAAACCGGGUGAGAAACCCGGUCGCCGUAAGUCCAAGGUUUCCUGGGGAAGGAUAAUCCUCCCAUGGGUUAGUCGAUUCCUAAGUCGAGGCCGAGAGGCGUAGGCGAUGGAAAGUAGGUUAAUAUUCCUACACCACCAAGGACAGCGUUGAUGUAAGCGGGGACGGAGAAGGAUAGCUCAGCAGGCUGCAUGGUUUGCCUGUUCAAGCCCGUAGGCUGAAUUGCUAGGACCCAAUAGGGACAAACGGCGAUUCAUUAAGGCCGAGAGGUGAUGAGGUCUAGCCCUAGGCUAGGACACUGAGUAAUUCCACGCUUCCUAGAAAAGCCGCGUACGGAGCCCCUUUGGUGAUCGUACUGCAAACCGACUCAGGUGGACGGGGUGAAUAUCCCAAGGCGCGUGAGAGAACCCUGGUUAAGGAACUCUGCAAAUUGACACCGUAACUUCGGGAGAAGGUGUGCCGCUGGCGGUUAGUGACUUCGCGUCACGAAGCUGUCGGUGGUCGCAGUGAAAUGGCGGUUGUGACUGUUUACUAAAAACACAGGACUCUGCGAAGUCGUAAGACGACGUAUAGGGUCUGAUGCCUGCCCGGUGCUGGAAGGUUAAGGGGAUACGUCAGCGCAAGCGAAGCAUUGAACCGAAGCCCCAGUAAACGGCGGCCGUAACGAUAACGGUCCUAAGGUAGCGAAAUUCCUUGUCGGGUAAGUUCCGACCUGCACGAGGGCAUAACAACAUCCGCACUGUCUCGACCAGGGACUCAGCGAAAUUACAUUGGGGGUGAAGAUGCCCUCUACCCGCGGAAAGACGGAAAGACCCCAUGAACCUUUACUGCAACUUGGCAGUGAUUUUCGGGUUGUUCUGCGUAGGAUAGGUGGGAGGCUUUGAAGCCGGGCUUCCGGGUUCGGCAGAGCCAACGUUGAAAUACCACCCUGAAUAAUCUGGAAAUCUAACCUGCGCCCAUGAUCUGGGCGAGGGACACUGCCUGGUGGGCAGUUUGACUGGGGCGGUCGCCUCCUAAAUUGUAACGGAGGCGUGCGACGGUUCCCUCAGGCUGAUUGGAAACCAGCCGUAGAGUGCAAACGCAUAAGGGAGCUUUACUGCGAGACUGACAAGUCGAACAGUUGCGAAAGCAGGUGUUAGUGAUCCGGUGGUACCACAUGGAAGGGCCAUCGCUCAUCGGAUAAAAGGUACUCUGGGGAUAACAGGCUGAUCGCGCCUGAGAGUUCACAUCGGCGGCGCGGUUUGGCACCUCGAUGUC
rnacentral:rRNA from 1 species